AUGAUUUGUGGUAUAUUGAGGAAGCCGAUUUGCUGUCAGCGUUGAAGCCAGAAAAGUCCUUGCUGCUUGGAAGCUGAGAUGCCAGACUCCUGAAAGCAGCAGUUCUUCUGUUGGUGCCUCACCAGGACCUCCCGGAUCCUUUGUCUCCUUCACCCAGUUCAUCCUCUGUUACUGACAAUCCUGCUAUUUUUCCAAGACGGCUCAUGCUGAGUGUAGAUCGAAACAUUGUAA